GUAGGUGGCAAGCGUUGUCCGGGAAUUAUUGGGGCGUAAAGCGCGCGCAGGCGGUUCUUCAAGUCUGAUGUGAAAGCCCACGGGCUCAACCGUGGAGGGUCAUUGGAAACUGGAGAACUUGAGUACAGAAGAGGAAAGCGGAAUUCCACGUGUAGCGGUGAAAUGCGUAGAGAUGUGGAGGAACACCAGUGGCGAAGGCGGCUUUCUGGUCUGUAACUGACGCUGAGGCGCGAAAGCGUGGGGAGCAAACAGGAUUAGAUACCCUGGUAGUCCACGCCGUAAACGAUGAGUGCUAAGUGUUAGGGGGUUUCCGCCCCUUAGUGCUGCAGCUAACGCAUUAAGCACUCCGCCUGGGGAGUACGGCCGCAAAGGCUGA
rnacentral:rRNA from 1 species